rnacentral:rRNA from 1 species
GUGGGAAUCUACCGUACCCUACGGAAUAGCUCCGGGAAACUGGAAUUAAUACCGUAUACGCCCUUUGGGGGAAAGAUUUAUCGGGGUAUGAUGAGCCCGCGUUGGAUUAGCUAGUUGGUGGGGUAAAGGCCUACCAAGGCGACGAUCCAUAGCUGGUCUGAGAGGAUGAUCAGCCACAUUGGGACUGAGACACGGCCCAAACUCCUACGGGAGGCAGCAGUGGGGAAUAUUGGACAAUGGGCGCAAGCCUGAUCCAGCCAUGCCGCGUGAGUGAUGAAGGUCUUAGGAUUGUAAAGCUCUUUCACCGAUGAAGAUAAUGACGGUAGUCGGAGAAGAAGCCCCGGCUAACUUCGUGCCAGCAGCCGCGGUAAUACGAAGGGGGCUAGCGUUGUUCGGAAUUACUGGGCGUAAAGCGCACGUAGGCGGAUAAUUAAGUCAGGGGUGAAAUCCCGCAGCUC